GAGAUGGCUGCGGGGAUGUAUUUGGAACAUUAUCUGGACAGUAUUGAAAACCUUCCCUUUGAAUUACAGAGAAACUUUCAGCUCAUGAGGGACCUAGACCAAAGAACAGAGGGUAUGUAUAGAGUAAAAAGUUUUUGUAUCUAAUGAGUGUGUGUAAUCAUUUAUUUUUCUACUUGAUGUCACCGUAUCAUCUGGUAUGAUCUGGAGAACUGUGGCUUCUCUCUCUCCUUUUUUACGCUCUUGGAAUUCUUAAAACAGGAUAAUGAUCCUCAUUUCUGUAUCAGCUUUUUCAUAACAAAUAGAGUAUUGUGAAAACGCCUCAAGAAUUCGAAGAUGCUGUGUUCUUUAUGUCUUCCUCGAGAAUAAUUAGCCAGGCUGGCUCACACCUGUAAUCCCAGCAC
rnacentral:sRNA from 1 species